rnacentral:lncRNA from 1 species
ACAAGUCCAAAUGGACAAAGAUCAAAAUGACAUAAUCACAAACAAUAUGAUAUGAAAUGCAUAAAAUAAAGACGUAAAGUAAAUGACAUUAAAAUAGAAGUUAAUACAAGUGAAGAUUUAGUAAGGGGUGUUAGUAAAGAUGAAAAUAUGUUUUUGGUCAUUUUUUAGAGAACACUCAACUAUCCACUCACAAGCAAGAAAAUAUGAG